GCCUGGGUGGCUAGUUGGUUAAGCAUCUGACUGUUGAUUUCAGAUCAGAUCAUGAUUUCAUGGUUCGUGGGUUUGAGCCCCACAUCGGGCU
rnacentral:tRNA from 1 species